rnacentral:rRNA from 1 species
GACGAACGCUGGCGGCGUGCUUAACACAUGCAAGUCGAGCGGAAAGGCCCUUCGGGGUACUCGAGCGGCGAACGGGUGAGUAACACGUGAGUAACCUGCCCUUCACUUUGGGAUAACCCUCGGAAACGGGGGCUAAUACCGGAUACGACACACCAGCGCAUGUUGUGUGUGUGGAAAGUUUUUCGGUGGGGGAGUGGCGUCGCGGCCUAUCAGCUUGUUGGUGGGGUGAUGGCCUACCAAGGCGACGACGGGGAGCCGGCCUGAGAGGGCGACCGGCCACACUGGGACCGAGACACGGCCCAGACUCCUACGGGAGGGCAGCAGUGGGGAAUAUUGCACAAUGGGCGGGAAGCCUGAUGCAGCGACGCCGCGUGAGGGAUGACGGCCUC